UUGGAGGGCAAGUCUGGUGCCAGCAGCCGCGGUAAUUCCAGCUCCAAUAGCGUAUAUUAAAGUUGUUGCAGUUAAAAAGCUCGUAGUUGAAUUUCGGGGUUAGUAGGUUGGUCAUGCCACUGGUAUGUACUGGUCUCACUGAUUCCUCCUUCCUGAUGAGCCGUAAUGCCAUUAAUUUGGUGUUGCGAGGAAUCUGGACUGUUACUUUGAAAAAAUUAGAGUGUUUAAAGCAAGCUAACGCUUGAAUACAUUAGUAUGGAAUAAUGAAAUAGGACGUUCGAUCCUAUUUUGUUGGUUUCUAGGAUUGACGUAAUGAUUAAUAGGGAUAGUUGGGGGCAUUAGUAUUCAAUUGUCAGAGGUGAAAUUCUUGGAUUUAUUGAAGACUAACUACUGCGAAAGCAUUUGCCAAGGAUGUUUUCAUUAAUCAAGAACGAAAGUUAGGGGAUCGAAGACGAUCAGAUACCGUCGUAGUCUUAACCAUAAACUAUGCCGACUAGGGAUCGGAUGAUGUUAAUUUCUUAAUGACUCAUUCGGCGCCUUACGGGAAACCAAAGUGUUUGGGUUC
rnacentral:rRNA from 1 species